GUGUGUGUGUGUGUGAUGACAAAUGUGUCAGUAUGAAACAGUGUCUUGGGGGAAUGUGGGAUUAACAUGCUGCCAGCCACAGUAGUCAGACUACCACAAGAGUAGGUCUAGGGUUCACAACUGGAGAGGCUGUGGACUCGGGCCAUUAGUACGUAUCUAGGUCAUCUGAGCUGACUGCUCAAAUCAAGAUUUAACCUGUAUCAAGAGGAAGUAGAGAGUUGAGGUUCUUAUAAAGGAAAUGCUUCUUUAUAUGGAUGAUAUGAAUUCUCACUCUAGGUCACCCGUAACACACGCAUAUAGAUGAAUUCUCACUCUAGGUCACCCGUAACACACGCAUAUAGAUGAAUUCUCACUCUAGGUCACCCGUAACACACGCAUAUAGAUGAAUUCUCACUCUAGGUCACCCGUAACACACGCAUAUAGAUGAAUUCUCACUCUAGGUCACCCGUAACACACGCAUAUAGAUGAAUUCUCACUCUAGGUCACCCGUAACACACGCAUAUAGAUGAAUUCUCACUCUAGGUCACCCGUAACACACGCAUAUAGAUGAAUUCUCACUCUAGGUCACCCGUAACACACGCAUAUAGAUGAAUUCUCACUCUAGGUCACCCGUAACACACGCAUAUAGAUGAAUUCUCACUCUAGGUCACCCGUAACACACGCAUAUAGAUGAAUUCUCACUCUAGGUCACCCGUAACACACGCAUAUAGAUGAAUUCUCACUCUAGGUCACCCGUAACACACGCAUAUAGAUGAAUUCUCACUCUAGGUCACCUGUAACACACGCAUAUAGAUGAAUUCUCACUCUAGGUCACCCGUAACACACGCAUAUAGAUGAAUUCUCACUCUAGGUCACCCGUAACACACGCAUAUAGAUGAAUUCUCACUCUAGGUCACCCGUAACACACGCAUAUAGAUGAAUUCUCACUCUAGGUCACCCGUAACACACGCAUAUAGAUGAAUUCUCACUCUAGGUCACCCGUAACACACGCAUAUAGAUGAAUUCUCACUCUAGGUCACCCGUAACACACGCAUAUAGAUGAAUUCUCACUCUAGGUCACCCGUAACACACGCAUAUAGAUUAAUUCUCGUAACAACUCUAUGAAAGAGAUUGAUACUGGUGGUGCCUGUUAACUAAUUAGAUAAUUAGCAUUAUUAACUAACUAUAGACUUUGUCUCUUGUCUUCUCACCUUUUUCCCUCCCUCCUGUCUUUCUCUCCCUCUUCUCUCUCUCCUCCCUCUCUCUGUCUUCUCUCUUCCUCCUCCCUCUGUCUUCUCUCUUCCUCCUCCCUCUGUCUUCUC